UCCGGUUUGUCACCGGCAGUCUCCUUAAAGUUCCCGGCAUGACCCGCUGGCAAUUAAGGACAAGGGUUGCGCUCGUUACGGGACUUAACCCAACAUCUCACGACACGAGCUGACGACAGCCAUGCAGCACCUGUCACUCGGUUCCCGAAGGCACCCUCCCAUCUCUGGGAGGUUCCGAGGAUGUCAAGGGGUGGUAAGGUUCUUCGCGUUGCAUCGAAUUAAACAACAUGCUCCACCGCUUGUGCGGGCCCCCGUCAAUUCAUUUGAGUUUUAACCUUGCGGCCGUACUCCCCAGGCGGAGAACUUAUCGCGUUAGCUGCGCCACUAAGACCUCAAGGGCCCCAACGGCUAGUUCUCAUCGUUUACGGCGUGGACUAC
rnacentral:misc_RNA from 1 species